rnacentral:lncRNA from 1 species
AAUUACUAACAAAAUAAUUUUACAUUACUAAAAACUCACCAAAUACUAAACUAAACACGACAAUUUAUAGCAUAAUCCUAAAUUAAUAAUAAUUUAAUUUUAAAAUAAUUACAAACACAACAAUUUAUAACAUAAUCCUAAAUUACUAACAAAUUAAAUUUAAAAUAAUUAUAAAAAAACAAAAAAAAAUACAUUCAUACAAAAUAUUAACCCAAAAC